UACGUAGGGUGCAAGCGUUAAUCGGAAUUACUGGGCGUAAAGCGUGCGCAGGCGGUUUUGUAAGUCAGAUGUGAAAUCCCCGGGCUUAACCUGGGAACUGCAUUUGUGACUGGCAGGCUAGAGUAUGGCAGAGGGGGGUAGAAUUCCACGUGUAGCAGUGAAAUGCGUAGAGAUGUGGAGGAAUACCGAUGGCGAAGGCAGCCCCCUGGGCCAAUACUGACGCUCAUGCACGAAAGCGUGGGGAGCAAACAGG
rnacentral:rRNA from 1 species